GGUUAAGCGACUAAGCGUACACGGUGGAUGCCCUGGCAGUCAGAGGCGAUGAAGGACGUGCUAAUCUGCGAUAAGCGUCGGUAAGGUGAUAUGAACCGUUAUAACCGGCGAUUUCCGAAUGGGGAAACCCAGUGUGUUUCGACACACUAUCAUUAACUGAAUCCAUAGGUUAAUGAGGCGAACCGGGGGAACUGAAACAUCUAAGUACCCCGAGGAAAAGAAAUCAACCGAGAUUCCCCCAGUAGCGGCGAGCGAACGGGGAGCAGCCCAGAGCCUGAAUCAGUGUGUGUGUUAGUGGAAGCGUCUGGAAAGGCGCGCGAUACAGGGUGACAGCCCCGUACACAAAAAUGCACAUGCUGUGAGCUCGAUGAGUAGGGCGGGACACGUGGUAUCCUGUCUGAAUAUGGGGGGACCAUCCUCCAAGGCUAAAUACUCCUGACUGACCGAUAGUGAACCAGUACCGUGAGGGAAAGGCGAAAAGAACCCCGGCGAGGGGAGUGAAAAAGAACCUGAAACCGUGU
rnacentral:rRNA from 1 species